UUCCUUUUAUUACCAUCUCACCUUCACAAGACAUGAGACAUGGGUAAGAUUUCCCUUAUUACCAUCUCACCUUCACAAGACAUGGGUAAGAUUUCCCUUAUUACCAUCUCACCUUCACAAGACAUGGGUAAGAAUUUUCCCUAAUUACCAUCUCACCUUCACAGGACAUGGGACAUGGGUAAGAUUUCCCUUAUUACCAUCUCACCUUCCCAAGACAUGGGUAAGAAUUCCCUUAUUACCAUCUCACCUUCAAAAGACAUGGGUAAGAUUUCCCUUAUUACCAUCUCACCUUCACAAGACAUGGGUAAGAAUUUUGCCAAUGACCAUCUCUUCAAAGUUUAUUGAUACGCACUCUAACAAUAGUAAAUAAUUUUGUGUUAAUUUCUUCUC